rnacentral:rRNA from 1 species
ACGCUCGACACCUACGGGAGGCAGCAGUGGGAAAUAUUGCACAAUGGGGGAAACCCUGAUGCAGCGACGCCGCGUGAGUGAAGAAGUAAUUCGUUAUGUAAAGCUCUAUCAGCAGGGAAGAAAGUGACGGUACCUGAGUAAGAAGCCCCGGCUAACUACGUGACAGCAGCCGCGGUAAUCUGAGCGGGCGUGGCAAGGC